rnacentral:lncRNA from 10 species
UACUCCUCACCCCAAAAACAACUUAAGGCCCAUAUAAUAUUAACCCACACUUUUCCUUUAUCACCUUUCCCUAAACCAUCUCUCAUGAUAAUUUUAACUUCAAAUUCCAUGCCUCCCUAGCCAACUCUGUCCCUUAGCCCAACCUCUAUCCCCCAUCCUAAGGAUCUAUCCACUUCUCAACACCAGCACUGCUUUCUCAGACCUGGCCUGGCUCUCCCAGGUCCAUCAUCAUCUCAUACAUUGAAUUUCAAAUGUCAGUCUAUUCCCAUCUCAUCCUUGGCAGAACUUUCCUUCGUGGUUUCAAGCUCUCUUAUUCUGGCAGAAUAUCAGGAACCCUGUGUGUGUCUGCUUUUCAACUCCUCAAGAAAAGAAAGUUGCUGGGAGGGUAGAUUUAUGGGCCUUCC